GGCGUGUAGGCGGAGAUGCAAGUUGGGAGUGAAAUCCCGGGGCUCAACCCCGGAACUGCUUUCAAAACUGUAUCCCUUGAGUGUCGGAGAGGCAAGCGGAAUUCCUAGUGUAGCGGUGAAAUGCGUAGAUAUUAGGAGGAACACCAGUGGCGAAGGCGGCUUGCUGGACGAUAACUGACGCUGAGGCGCGAAAGCGUGGGGAGCAAACAGGAUUAGAUACCCUGGUAGUCCACGCUGUAAACGAUGAAUACUAGGUGUGGGAGGACUGACCCCUUCCGUGCCGCAGUUAACACAAUAUGUAUUCCACCUGGGGAGUACGACCGCAAGGUUGAAACUCAAAGGAAUUGACGGGGGCCCGCACAAGCAGUGGAUUAUGUGGUUUAAUUCGACGCAACGCGAAGAACCUUACCAGGACUUGACAUCCAACUAACGAAGUAGAGAUACAUUAGGUGCCCUUCGGGGAAAGUUGAGACAGGUGGUGCAUGGUUGUCGUCAGCUCGUGUCGUGAGAUGUUGGGUUAAGUCCCGCAACGAGCGCAACCCCUAUUGUUAGUUGCUACGCAAGAGCACUCUAGCGAGACUGCCGUUGACAAAACGGAGGAAGGCGGGGACGACGUCAAAUCAUCAUGCCCCUUAUGUCCUGGGCUACACACGUAAUACAAUGGCCGUCAACAGAGGGAAGCAAAACCGCGAGGUGGAGCAAAUCCCUAAAAACGGUCUCAGUUCGGAUUGUAGGCUGCAACUCGCCUACAUGAAGCUGGAAUUGCUAGU
rnacentral:rRNA from 1 species